GAUGAUGUUCACCGUGAACUUCCACCAGUCCCCCGCCUUGUCCGCCUUCAGGAUGUGGAUCUGGACGGCUGCAAGGAAGCACAGGCAGACGGGGCCAAGAAGCCUUGCCUCCCACGCUGUGAGGGUGCCACCCAGCACUGCCGUCGGGACAAGCCAUCUCCUGGCCUUGUCAAGGCCCACUUUGUCCAGGAAGCCUACAGGUGCUGACCACGCCCCCAGCACUCUGGGCAAGCUGUCUGCCCAGGGCAGGCGCUCGGGUGAGAGCAGUGCUGGCGGGGAGAGGGAGGUUCCUCAGGGGUGCGCUUCUCCAAAGGCCCAAGUCACUUUACACCAGCCCUCAUGACACUCCACACACAGCCUGGCCCUCCAACCAGCCUCAGAAAACCAUAAUGGGUCCUCAAUGCUCAGGGACAGAAGAUGAGAACCCACCCUUUGGGGUGGCCGUAGUGCCUUUUCCAGAGCCCCGGGAACCUUGGACUGCCGCUUCCCACGCCUAAGCCAUCCCUACCAGGUGGCCUCCCUUCCUCCAUGCCGCCCAAGGUCCCCAGACCAUUCCUCUUACUCCAAAUUCUCUGCCAGUAUUUUCCCUAGUAGAAGGACUUCCCCAAAUGGAGCAUGCAUCAGAAUCCCCUGGCCGGCUUGUGAAAAUACACUGCUGGGCCCCGCCCCAGAGCUUCAGAUUGAACAGAUCUGGGUGAGGCCCUAGAAUAUGCAUUUCUCACAAGUGGUGCCGAUGUCAUUGACUCAGAGGACAAAUGUUACCAGAUGUCAUUUCUGCAAGAUAGUAAGGGAGAUUUCAAAAAUAAGAGACGCUAAAUAAAUGAGAAACUUUGCUCUAGUAAGUUUGUGAAAUACUAGGUUAAACAAAGUCAAGAGGUUCCUUACUGCAAGACUUUUCAGAGCCUUUAACCUAAGAAUCCUGUAUACGUGUGUUGGUUUCUCAAACAACUGUGACUGCAGAACCCUUUGGUUGGUGCAUCUCAGGUCACCAGAGCCUCAUGGGGCCUUCUUGGGGACCUGCUGGGGGUGGACACAUGAUCAUUGCCCCCAGACCAGGGGGUACCUGGAGGGGCCUCUGCUGUACUCACCUCUGUUCAAGAGAAACAGCCAUCCACUCACUCCCCUGCCCCGCACUGUCUUCCCCUCACUGAUCCCACCCUCACACACUGUAGCCUUCACUGGGCGAAACACCUUUAUUCCCCAGGCUGGGCCAUGGAGUAGACUUGAGCCCUCCUGAGACAGGAGCAGCAGCUUGAAGAAACCAACACACAGGCAAGCUCUGUGGCUUCAGCAGCCACAAGGACACCUCCCCAGGGAACGUCCAGCAGUCAUCACUUCCCCACUUACCACUCCAGACAAUGGAACCACCCCAGCUGAGCCUGCCCUCCUAUGCUGGCUGGCUUCUGUCAACGUCUCUGGGGGCCACUCUGCUCCUGCACUCCGAGGGCACCCCCCUGCACCCACACAUGGACCAGGGGAUGGGGAGGGCAGGGACAGCCGAGUGCAGGAGAGCACUGAAUGCCAACCGAGUCAUCCUUCCAGGGUGAGGGAAGCGGAUUUUCCCGUAUUUUCAUUUCAGCUGUUCCUGGGCAUCCUGAACUUUGCACUCCAGUCUGAGGGCUCCAAAGAAUGGCUGCCAUGGCAACCGUUUCCAUGUUUUUGUCACCAAGGGACUCAACACUCAGUGUGAACUCUGGGUGGGGGGAGCCCUCCAGCCCAGAGAAGUGGCUGGGCCGAGUGUAUUUGACUGUGCAGACAGAGGUCACCGUGGCAACUGAGUGCCCCUUAGCUAAGCAAUGGGGGAGCCACCCCCAGCAUCCCUGAGAGCCCCGCUUUCCUCUCCCCAGGACUGAGCUGAAUACGAAUGAGCUCGGGAUAUGGCUGUUUCUGCCGUGCUGGACACCUCGGACCCCUUGUACAGCUGUGGUGUCCCCAGCCAGCAUGGGCUGGAGCAGCCCAACAAGGAUGCUGCAGAAGGCACCCUGGGCUGGGGCUCCAGGAGAGCUCAGCUUUGAUCCCAGGCUCCGAGCAUCUGUUGGUGCUGUGUGCUGAAUGGUGUCCCAACAAAUUCCUCUGUUGAAACCUUACACCUUAACCCCCUGGACUUCACAGGGUGACUUUACUUGGAGAUAGGGUCUUUAAAGUAUAAUUAACUACCCAUUAAAAUUUUUAAAAAUGUUAAGUAUAAUUAAGAUGAGGUCAUUAGGGUGGGCCCUAUGACCUGUGUCCUUGUAAGAGGAGAUGAGGACACAGACACACAGAGGGAAGACCCUGUAAGGACACGAGAAGGUGGCCAUCUACAAGCCAGGAGAGGACUUGGAGGAAAGCAACCCUACCGACACCUUGAUCUUGGACUUCCAGACUCCAGAGCUGUGAGAAAUACAUUUCUGUGGUUUCA
rnacentral:lncRNA from 1 species